CGUGCUUAACACAUGCAAGUCGAACGGUGAAGGAGGGCUUGCCCUCCGGAUCAGUGGCGAACGGGUGAGUAACGCGUGGGAACGUACCCUUUGCUACGGAAUAGCUCCGGGAAACUGGAAUUAAUACCGUAUGUGCCCUACGGGGGAAAGAUUUAUCGGCAAAGGAUCGGCCCGCGUUGGAUUAGCUAGUUGGUGGGGUAAUGGCCUACAAAGGCGACGAUCCAUAGCUGGUCUGAGAGGAUGAUCAGCCACAUUGGGACUGAGACACGGCCCAAACUCCUACGGGAGGCAGCAGUGGGGAAUAUUGGACAAUGGGCGCAAGCCUGAUCCAGCCAUGCCGCGUGAGUGAUGAAGGCCUUAGGGUUGUAAAGCUCUUUCACCGGAGAAGAUAAUGACGGUAUCCGGAGAAGAAGCCCCGGCUAACUUCGUGCCAGCCGCCGCCGUAAUAC
rnacentral:rRNA from 1 species